AUUGAACGCUGGCGGCAGGCCUAACACAUGCAAGUCGAGCGGUAGAGAGGUGCUUGCAUCUCUUGAGAGCGGCGGACGGGUGAGUAAUGCCUAGGAAUCUGCCUAGUGGUGGGGGAUAACGUUCGGAAACGGACGCUAAUACCGCAUACGUCCUACGGGAGAAAGCGGGGGGAUCUUCGGACCUCGCGCCAUUAGAUGAGCCUAGGUCGGAUUAGCUAGUUGGUGAGGUAAUGGCUCACCAAGGCGACGAUCCGUAACUGGUCUGAGAGGAUGAUCAGUCACACUGGAACUGAGACACGGUUCCAGACUCCUACGGGAGGCAGCAGUGGGGAAUAUUGGACAAUGGGCGAAAGCCUGAUCCAGCCAUGCCGCCGUGUGUGAGAAGGU
rnacentral:rRNA from 1 species